GCGCAUCGCUGAUGUUUCGUUUAGAUUUAUUCACUACUUAUCGAUAUUUAUUAGAAUUAUAGGUUUUACCUAUUAUUUUAAUUUUUAUCACCAGUUAUCCAACUUGAGGCACGAACUGUCGGCCAUAUCAAUACUUUAUUUAUUAUCAUACAGCCGAUUAGAUUUGUUCCAAGUGUUGUCUCUGUAGCAUUUUUUAGGUUACUCCAGUAGUUUCUUUUACAAUUGCCACGUGAUCAUCGGCUGUUCCAUAGCCGGUCAUCUUCACAUUAAAUCGGCCAACCCGCUGAUACAUCUUUCGGAAUAGAUCAGAAAUUCAGCCGAUCGAAUCUCUGGAAUUUGAUAUCUUUUCUCCCUUAUCAAUCAACAGGUCAGAUUGACUGACACCUGCGCGAACCGCAUCAGGGCGAUAACCCGAACAGGAGCUAAGCAGAUUCUCCCGGGUCGUGUGUCCGAUGCAGGAGUUAGGGUCACUAUCUGAUUUUUUGCGUCAACAAAAACAAUUAGAAUAAAUAGUUGAGAUAAAAUUUACAAAACAUAUUCAGAAAAGCUAAGCAAAAAAUUCAAGAAAAAUUGAAUAAAAAAUUAUGAACAGAAUUCGAAAAUGUUUUGUACAAAACUCUUGCAACAAAAUCUAGAACAAAAGAGAGAGAAAGUAAACAAAGAGCUAUGCCUCCAUAAGCUUGCCGGCGAGGCCGAUGCUUCGCAUCCCCACGCCGUGCGUCAUGCACAGCCGCUGACCUCCCUGCAAAUCGCUGUCACUCUUUGGGCCUGUCGCCGCAGCCAAGUGUGGUCACUCACCGGGGACGCCAACGCGCUCCUGCCCGCUUCUGCGUAGCGCCGUCGCUACGUGCUCACCCGCACGCCGCCAGUUGCAGCUGCUCGCCCCGAGCUCGUGCGCCGCUAGGGCACCACGCUGCCGCUGCAGGACGCUUCUGAGCCCUCGCAGCUUCUCAAGGUCUGCAGGGAGAGAGAAAAGGCAGAGGGAAUGAGAGAGAGUCACGGGAAAAGAAAUAGGAUAGGUUGGAGUAGAUAGGAGCCUAAUCUUCUGGUGGGGAGGGGAUGGUGGGCCAGCGACCCAGCAUGCAUGCGUGAUGCGUCAUCGACCGGAGGGAGCGGAACGGUCGGUUGUAAAUUCAGCUAUGCUUGUGUGCGCC
rnacentral:lncRNA from 1 species